rnacentral:rRNA from 1 species
CGGGUGCGUAACACGUGAGCAACCUGCCUAGAUGUGGGGGAUAGCCGGCCCAACGGCCGGGUAAUACCGCAUACGGUCACGAGGAGGAGUCUCCUUGUGAAGAAACCUCCGGGGCAUUUAGAGGGGCUCGCGGCCUAUCAGCUAGUUGGCGGGGUAAUGGCCCACCAAGGCUUCGACGGGUAGCUGGUCUGAGAGGAUGGCCAGCCACAUUGGGACUGAGAGACGGCCCAG